UCUCUUCUUCACUGAGGCACCACCGAAUCUACUCCUCUGCAUCGAGCCACCACCGUAGCUUAUCUUCUUCAACGAGCCACCACCAUAGCUUCUCUUCUUCACGGAGCCACCACCGGAGGUUCUCUGCUUCACGGAGCCACCACCGGAGCUUCUCUUCUUCACUGAGCCACCACCGGAGCUACUCCUCUGCGUCGAGCCGUAGCUUCUCUUCUUCACCGAGCUACAACCGUAGCUUCUCUUCUUCACCGAGCCACCACCGGAGGUUCUCUGCUUCACGGAGCCACCACCAGAGCUUGUCUUCUUCACUGAGCCACCACCGGAGCUACUCCUCUGCGUAGAGCCAUAGAUUCUCUUCUUCACCGAGCCACAACCGUAGCUUCUCUUCUUCACCGAGCCACCACCGGAGGUUCUCUGCUUCACGGAGCCACCACCAGAGCUUGUCUUCUUCACUGAGCCACCACCGGAGCUACUCCUCUGCGUCGAGCCGUAGCUUCUCUUCUUCACCGAGCCACGUAAAAAGGUAGUGAUAUCAUUACUCGUUUAGCUAGCUAAGUAACUAAGUAGCUCACCAAAGACGUUUUUGUUGUUUCUUCAGUUUGAUGGGGAACAAAGCGGGAACUCUUGAAGAUAUUGUGGACGCAUACUUGGCAUAUGGAGUGAUGUCUCGAUAUAACAGCCAAAGGACCUCGGGUUAGUGCUUCUUACGGAUAAGUAGUAAGCAUUGCUAGGAUCACGGUUUAGAUAGGGGAACUCAUUGUUUAGAUAUGAGUCACGGUUUAGGUAGAGGAUGUUGUUUGAUCUGUUGUUUGAAUUGUUGUUUGAGAAUGUUGUUUGAACUGACUUAGGAGUUAGGACUCGGGAAUGUUUGAGAAUAUUGUUUGAACUGUUCUUUGAGAAUGUUGUUUGAACUCGAUCAUGUAUUCAUGUUAAUGCGAAUGUUUGAGAAUGUUGUUUGAACUAUUGUUUGAGAAUGUUAAAUUGUUAUUGGCUUAUCUGCUUAGAAAACGAUCACGUCUAAAUUUUUAAUUUUUAAGUUUCCUAAUUUUAUAAAAUUUAAUUAAAAAUGGGGAUCAAAUUUUAAAAAGCCCUACAUCCACUUAGGUCACGACUACAUCCACUAUGGUUAAGACAAUAUGAAAGUCCAAUUGCUUUUCUUUUUGUUAUCAACAAAGUGAAUGUUGCUUUUCUAAACUACAUAUAAUCGUAAUGGUGUUGGUCGUGUAUAAAAGAAAUGUGUAAGAGUAUACAAUUUUAUAUCCAAGUCGCUUAAGCACAUCAAUAUUAGUAUAUUACGCAGAGGCAUUAGAGUGGUUUACAUCUGACUGCCAAAGUGCUAGUUGGUACUCUGUCUCUUUUAGCUUUUAUACACGACCAUAAUCUUGAGGACCAUACAUUCACUUUUUGUUGAUAUAGAAGCCACAAUCUUAAUACCAGUGACUGAUGAUCACUUUGGUUGCAUUGAAGCAUUUAUAUAGAUAAGAGAAUAGAGGUAUUGGGUUGAUGUUAUGGACGACUUGUGUUCUGUUUGUCUUAGCUUGACAAGUCUUAUGGUUGACUCUCAUGGUGUUUUUGUGUUUUCUGUGAUGUCUCGUAGAAGCAAAAGUAGCUUGAAGCAGCUAGUAUGGUGUUUUCUGUGACAUCCCGCGGGAUAGCCCGCGAAGGCUUACACAUUUUGCGGUAGGAGAUUGGGUAGCCAGUUUCAGGACCGCGUCCCGCGCGGGACGGUCCUGCCGUGUACUGCCAGAA
rnacentral:lncRNA from 1 species